UGUAGGUUUCAUUUUACAAACUGUCGUGCAGUCAGUGAGUCAGUCACGCACGAGAUAAAACCUAUAACUUGUCGUGGCGAUAGAAGUGUUUAUUUUGAUACGUUAACUUCAAUAUUGAAGCCGGACAAUAUUCAGGUGAAAUUUGUACAGUUUAUAAGGAAACAAAGCUGUGUGUUCGAAGGAACUAAGGUAAGCGAUAUUGCAUGUCCUUCCUGUUGUUGAGCAUUUCCAUACGAACAUGUUGUAUUCAAU